UCCCGCCCUCGGCCUGUGAGGGGAUAAAACACCUGGCGCUCCUUUCUUCGGGGUCCCUCUUGGGAGGCACCAGCUCCAGCUGUUACUUUGCAGGGGCCGCGAUCGCAGGAAGCUUUUGAGAGGAAAUUUUUGUGGAAUUGCGAGCUUGCCUGGAAAAUCGCCUGUCUGAAGAUAACGGCAUUUUAACACGACGAAUAGAGAUUUUUGAACAUUCCCCACCGGUUUUUCCCUCCCUGAGUGCCAGAAGGAGACAGACGGUGUGGAGGCACACGGCGGAGGGAGCGGCAUGAGUGUGGUGAUUUAAACUCCAAGUCCCAGCCCGCCGGUGUGCUGUGAAGGGCCGACUGCCGCUCAGCCCCAGCGAUAAUCAUAGAGGAACGUGUUGGCGGGGGAUAACUCACGCGUCUCCCUUCCGUGAGGUGGUAUCAGCGCGAUUUUUAUCUUGGCUAUAUGCCAAAGACGGUGUCGUGGUGCCUGCUUAUUUCUCUUCCCAUGCUCUGGCUUCUUUCUGCUUGGUUUUUGUAAAAUAAUGAUUUGAAAAUUGUUUUAACAUUGGAAUUAAUCUAAAAUGCCCUAAAAAUGUUUUUAGCAAUACUACCAUUCAAAAGUGAUGGAGAUCACUACACUAGGCUUUCCUUCAAUGCAGAAAUAUGUAAGGUAACAUGGCACUGAGUAAUGCAAUUUUUGUUUUCCCAAGGCUAAUAUCUCACUUGUAAUAGUUAAUGAGUUAACACCAGAGAUACAAUAGAUUGAAGUAAGCAAAGGUAAGACUUUACAGAUUUCACUGGAAUUUAUGGAGAAAAUCUAGUGUCAAGCAAAAAGUCCAUUUUGUGCUUUCUGAUAAGUGAAGUCAGGGUAAUUAAAAUGCUUUGAUGAAAUGUUUUACCUACAUAAUAGGUGUCCUUGGUCUGUUGCUUCUCAAGUUUUAUGUUUUUGGUUUUUUUUUGUUUGUUUGUUUUGUUUUAAUCUCCCAAACUUUUACAACAGCAGCAGUAGAAGGACCAGAGUCACAGACUUUUGGGAGAAAAGGAGUUUGUUUGUCCUGGUUUUGUUUUACUUUUGAGUAGGUUUCAGGAGUUUGUCAGUAGCCAUGCUGAAAGCAUGUUUAUAAUAGUUGUGUGCUCUGCUGUCAAAAACCUUAACAAACCUUUAAGUGAAUCUAAUUAAAGCAGUCUUUGAUAAUGGCAAUAAUAAAAGAUUGCUUUAAUUUACACUGUAAUGAAAGAAUUGUGCCAUUAAAUGUAGCAGGAAAUAGUGGAGCUGCUUUUCCAAACUAGGUAGAAAUUGCAUGCUGUGCUUUUAUGAUCUCAGUGAAGUCCCAGUGAUUGUCUUUCCAGCCAUCAGACAGAACUUCAGAAAUGAGGUAGUUCCUCCCUCUUCUGAAGGAGCGGUAUGUAUGGUCCAGUUACCCCGUUUGGUGUUUCCAGUGUGUUUCUUCUCUAAUCCUUGCACAUCUAUCCCCAAAGCCUGUCAUUUUAAUGGAGCCUGGCUGUUUUUGUGGUGUCUGAAUACCAAGCCUUGGGCUUGUAACAUUAGAAGUUCUUCUGGUUGGUAGGCUGAUUUUUUUUUUUCUCCUUGUAGUUUCUUUUGCAUUAUGUUGUUUCUUGGUGUCUUGUUGUUUAAGCCAGGAUAGCUCCAGAGACAUGAAAUGACAACUUCUCUUUUGGACCGUGAUUCUAGAUACCAGUUGGAUUGCCAGUCUUUGAGGAGUGGUGUGGUGUGACAGACAUGUCAGCAGGAUGUGUGGCUUUGCACUGCAGGUUAAUCACCAGAGAGCCUCAUGUCAUUUCUCCACUUUUCUGCUGCAGGUUCUGGUUUCAUUUUUGUUGUGUACUGAAUUUUAUAUUUAUUUUCAUGGGACCCUGGAUGAAGCCUGAACUUUAUGUUUUUGAGAGAAGAAUCCAAAAAAGGAAAGUAAGCAAUUUACCCCAGAUUAUUUCCUAAGGGAAAAGGGUCCUCCAUCUUUCACACAGAGGAGCAGAUGGUGGGAAGGAAAAUAUGGAUGUAAGGAAGCUGAUUAGCACUGGAGCCCCCAAAAGUAUAUAAUGGCCUGUAGGUAUGCUCAUCUUCUCUCUCCUCAGCCUGGUUUACUCACUAAGCAAGCUUGUCUCGAAGGCAGCACUUUCCCUUGGGUAGAGCUGAUGUGUUUGCAGCAGCCACCUCUCCCUUACGCUUUCUUGCCUGUUGAAGAGCCCAACCCAGCGUGGAAAAAGAAGAGCAAAACUGCCCAGGGAGCACAGCUGUCUGUCUGGAUGGAGGGGAGUGCCUGGAGAGGAGUGGGGGAAAGGAGGGCUUAAGAGUGUUUAUUCCUAAGUGAAAUCCUGCACCUGCCAUUUUCUCGUAGGAGAGGCAGCCCUUAUGCUGGAGUCCGGGGAGAGCAACAUCAUUGCUGAGUAGGAAGCCCACAAGGCACAGCAGAAGGCUCUAUUGAGCUGUUUUGGUGGAAGGAGAGAGAAGUGACUCAGUACAAUUCCAUGUAGUCUUGAUUUGCCAUUCACCAGCCUGGAGAGGGAUCUUCAGCCUUCACCUCCUGUCCUUAGGUCACACAGGAUGAAGAAAAUAUGACACUGGCAUUCUGGAUACCUGGACUUCAGGAAAAGCACCCUUGAGGGUGUGCAUUAUUCUGCAUCCCUACUGAGAGCUAAUUAGCCUUUUGCUUUCCUCGGUAUUGCUAGGGAUUUCUUUAAUAUCACUGUAAAAAGUAUUUGUAAGUCUGGUUGUGCUCUUUAGAUCCAGUAGCUGGGGCAUGUUGCCUUUGUGGCCGACAAGUAUUUACACUCUUUGUACAACAGCGGGAAGGAACUGCAGGAAGGUAACUGAAUCAUCAGCUCUGUUUUGGAAUUGACCAUUGCUUUAUUCCUGCCAUUUCUGUUGCUUUUUGGGAAUGGCUGCCUUUCCCACACAGCUCCAAGCAAGAAGAUGUGCAAAAGAAGAGCCAGUAACUUUUCACUUACACAAAAUGAGGAAAGAGCUCUGAGAGGGAGAAAGUGACCACACCUCACAGGCAGUUAAAUUUCUGUGGCUCAUUUCUUUGUAGAGAAUUCUCUACAAUAGAAUUCUCUCUUCUUUGUAGGGGAAGAAUCUCAUUUUUAUGUGGAUUGACUUACCAACUCAUUUGCAGAAAGAAUUAUAAAAUGCAAAUAUUUAUGAAUCACUGUAUAUGUUGUAAUCUUAUUUCUAAAACAAACAUUGCUUUGUACUGUGGCUCCUGUGGGCUGUGAGCUGAAAGAUUUUCCAGCAUUUAUCCCAUUUUGAGCAAUAAGCUGCAGGGAAUAAAUGCUGCUAGUCAGACUGGGAUGCAGUGUCUCCUGGAGCAUUUGUGCUCCUGGGAAGUUGUCAUCUCCUUUCAACAAGUGUUAGCAAAAAUAUUCACAUUAGCAUUAAAACUGGUUAUUUUCUGAUAUUUAGCUUAUAUUUAGGGAGAGGUCAUAGUCAAACAGGUGAUAGCAUUCUUGUUAAAUGUGGCUUGUGAAGUCUGGCUGGGGUUUCUUUUUGCAGGUAGAAGCUUCCUUCCUCUGGGGUGGCUUUUCUCCAGGGGGUGAGUGUGGAGCAGGCUGUGGGAGACACAAGGCAUGUCUGCUGUGUGCUGAGAUAGGAGAGACAGCUGGGAGGGGAAGGGAGAGCAGGCAAACGACCAAGGGCACCCUGGAGGUUUCGGAGUUUGGUUCCUGCACAGUGAGCCUCCAGAACAGGGGAGGGAGUGCUUUGUGUUUUUAGGAAGGCAUGUUCCUGCAGUCGGGAUGGACGGGGUCCCUUCUGGGUGGGUGUUUGUGCCUGAGUGAGCUGCAACCUGGCUGGGUGGUGAUGGUGGCAGGGCAAGCCCUGUGCCUCCACUGCUGCCCCUUGCAGCUCUCCCUGGGAAACCAUCCUGCUGUGCAGUGCUGGGCAGGGGACUCUCCUCUUCUUGGGUGUAUUGGAAAACCUUCUGAGAAAAAAAUCGGUUGUACCGAUUUUGAGAGAAAGCAACUUGUGAUCCAACAUAUUGGCAACUGGUGGGAAAUAAGGCUGCUGCCAUAAAAUUAUGCAAUAAAUAUCUCUGCACCAUGAAUUCUGGUGCCUUUUCUUGAUUAUAUUUCUUCUUAUAAGAGGCUAUAUGAAUAAAUAUUGAGGCUAAAUAAAAGAGUAGCCUAUCUGCAGGGAGCUGCUUUGUGUCUGGAGCAGUCGGUAAUAUGCUUGUAUACAACUACUAAUGGUUUGCAUGAAGCCUGAGGACUUCAGGAACUGGGUUAGUUACAAAGGUUAAGACCAGUCCAGAUGGAUGGGUGCAAUGCCCUUUAUCAAAAUACAACACAAAAAUAAGAGAGAGUAAAUCAAAUGAUAUGAAGGAAGCAGAUUCUUUUGUUGUGGAAAAUAUCUUGAGCAUUAAUCACUUCUUCUGCUGGAUAGAUGCAAACAUGAGAAAGGAGAUGAUUUCCUUCCAAAUUACAGUGCAGAGUGUUUUUUAAGGAAGAUACUAAUCCCUGUGCAGAACAGUAGUUGCUGAUCUCCAAGCUGAAAAUUAUUAUGCACUUCUUAAUUUGUCUCUAUGAUUAAGCUCAAAUAAAUCAGGGUAUAAAUGCAUUAUUAGAAUGAAGUUAUGUAAUAUGCAUGUGCCCCUAAUACUAAUAUGUUAUGUAUGUCUGCUAUAUACAGCUGCAUGACACAGUGUAUUUAUUAAAAAUCUAGAAAUUGUACAUUCCUGAAACUGCAGAUUUUUAUUCACCUGCUUGUGAGCCUGGGGGUAUGCAACAGUUAUUUAUCAUUGUACUCUGAUGAAACCCUGCUAAAAAUGAAACUGCUGUGAAGAAAUGUGGACCUACAGUGGGAAACUAAAAUUUCAGGUGCUAAUACACUUCUGCAUAUCAAAAAUUGACUUAUGCCUUUGCUUAUUUUCAAGGAGCUCCUUUAUAAAAAAAGCAAAGAAUAUGUAGUCUCUGUAUGCUCAGUAAGGCAGAGAUAGAAAAUUUUUUAAAAAGGCAAAUUGAAUAUGAUGUUAUGCAUUUAGGAUUCUUCUCAGCCUGGUUUAGAUUUCUCUCAUGUGUUUCCCCAAGAAGUCAGACUGCUUAAAGAAUAAAUGAAAUAAAAGUUUAAAUUACAGAAUCAAGCCAUGGUCACAGACGAGGAUGAAGAGCAAUGAAUUGGUGAGUCAGGGCUUUUUUUUUUCUUUCUGUGACAGGUCAUAAAUAGUUACUGUUUUUGGAAAAAUAAAAAGGUAAAAGUCUACUAAAACUUAAAAUCUUUGCUGAAAGAUUACAAAAUGGACUGCAAAGACAUUUUAUUUGAUUACAUUUCUAAACAUUUAGCUUUCGGGGAAAAGAUUAAACUCAAUAAAAUUGUCACUCUUUUGAGCAGUCUUACAGGUAAUAAAUAAACAGAAGAAGGCAACUGUCUUCUCUCAUUACGCUCAUCAGGGUUUUUCUUGGAAUAUAGACAAUGCAUCAAGGAGUUUCUUUGUGAGUUAUUGGAGGGAGUAAUCCACAGGCUAAGCAACAUACACAUGCAUUCUGAAACAGGAUGGCUGUUAAGGCUUGCUGAGAGUGUGGUGUACAUUAAAUACUGUAGUACCCCUUCACUUUUACCAGGCCUGACAACUUUACAGGUUGAAGAAAGACUUAAAACUGGUCAGUUAUGGAAUACAGAAAACGGAGCAAUUUUUGUGGCACAAUCCAAAA